AAACGAGGGACAGCUGAGAAAUAUAACAUUUGAAUCCCUUUUCUCUUUUGCUCUGAGGCGUGGGGGAAAAAUAUCGACAAGUCCAUGAAGAUCAUUUACUCAUAUAUUGGGUAAAUGCCCAAAACAUCUAUAGAAAUGUAAAUCGCCGCUUGAUUCAUUCAUUUGCUUAACUUGUUUUGGACCAUAAACAAGGCGCGAAUAGGACACCGGAAACAAAGCUCCACACAGGAGUUUUUGCACCGGAAGUAGCUGUCAGGGUCCUGGGUCUGAGCGACCCAGGAUCCAUGAGCAGUUAUGGCCUAAUAUUAUAAUAUAUAUUUUGUAUUGCUGUCCCUGGUUCUCCCUGCUUGUAUGUGUGUGUGUGUGUCUGAGCACUCGUUUAUAGGCGCCUUCAGGCCUGGUGGGUGUGGCCCUGGCCACACCCAAAGCCACACACCUGCUCCUGAUCAGGCCUCGUCGGGGGAGCUACUUAAGAGAGUCUUGGAGCUCCCACCGACGUGGGAUCAUUGCGUGAGACUCCACGAGGAGCGUGGGAGGCCUGAAGAGCAGCGAGCACCGGGAGUGCAGACACGGGAGCAGAGAGCACAAGGAGGACACGACACGGGAGUCUUGGGAAACACGGGGAUUUACUGUUGUUUUGCACCAUACACUGUAAAUAAACGCACUGUUCGCACACAGA